rnacentral:rRNA from 1 species
AUUGAACGCUGGCGGCAGGCUUAACACAUGCAAGUCGAACGAGUGGCGGACGGGUGAGUAAUGCUUGGGAAACUGGCUUAUGGAGGGGGAUAACUACUGGAAACGGUAGCUAAUACCGCGUACCAUAAGAUGAGCCCAGAUGGGAUUAGGUAGUUGGUGGGGUAACGGCUCACCAAGGCGACGAUCCCUAGCUGGUCUGAGAGGAUGACCAGCCACAAUGGAACUUAGACACGGUCCAGACUCCUACGGGAGGCAGCAGUGGGGAAUAUUGCGCAAUGGGCGCAACCCUGAUGCAGCCAUGCCGCGUGAAUGAAGAAGGCCUUCGGGUUGUAAAGUACUUUCGGCGGGGAGGCGUUACCUGCAGAAGAAGCACCGGCUAACUCCGUGCCAGCAGCCGCGGUAAUUC